rnacentral:rRNA from 1 species
ACGUAGGUAACCUACCUUUGGUGCGGAAUAACCCACGGGGAAACCUAGGCUAAUACCGCAUAUGGUCCACGGAUCAAAGACUUCGGUCGCCAAGGGAUGGGCCUGCGGCCCAUUAUUUAAUCCUUGUUGGUGGGGUAAUGGCCUACCAAGGGUACGAUGGGUAGCUGGUCUGAGAGGAUGAUCAGCCACACUGGGACUGAGACACGGCCCAGACUCCUACGGGAGGCAGCAGUGGGGAAUAUUGCGCAAUGGGCGAAAGCCUGACGCAGCCACGCCGCGUGAGUGAUGAAGGCCCUCGGG